rnacentral:rRNA from 1 species
UACAGAGGAGCCAAGCGUUGUCCGGAUUGACUGGGCGUAAAGCGCACGCAGGCGGCCUUUUAAGUUUGACGUGAAAGCUCCCGGCUUAACUGGGAGAGGUCGUUGAAUACUGGAAGACUUGAGGCAAUGAGAGGGGUGUAGAAUUCCCGGUGUAGUGGUGGAAUGCGUAGAUAUCGGGGGGAAUACCAGUGGCGAAAGCGGCACCCUAGCGUUAGCCUGACGCUCAUGUGCGAAAGCGUGGGGAGCGAACGGG